rnacentral:rRNA from 1 species
CCUACGGGGGGCUGCAGUGGGGAAUAUUGCACAAUGGGCGCAAGCCUGAUGCAGCCAUGCCGCGUGUGUGAAGAAGGCCUUCGGGUUGUAAAGCACUUUCAGCGGGGAGGAAGGCGGUGAGGUUAAUAACCUCAUCGAUUGACGUUACCCGCAGAAGAGGCACCGGCUAACUCCGUGCCAGCAGCGCGGUAAUACGGAGGGUGCAAGCGUUAAUCGGAAUUACUGGGCGUAAAGCGCACGCAGGCGGUCUGUCAAGUCGGAUGUGAAAUCCCCGGGCUCAACCUGGGAACUGCAUUCGAAACUGGCAGGCUAGAGUCUUGUAGAGGGGGGUAGAAUUCCAGGUGUAGCGGUGAAAUGCGUAGAGAUCUGGAGGAAUACCGGUGGCGAAGGCGGCCCCCUGGACAAAGACUGACGCUCAGGUGCGAAAGCGUGGGGAGCAAACAGGAUUAGAUACCCCGGUAGUC